CCCUGUACCUGGCAGGGGAGAUACCAUGAUCAAAAAGGUGGUUCACCCAGGGCGAGGCUCAGCCAUUGCACUGUCGGUUGUGCUGACCCCUGUGAAUUCGCCAAAUGCGGGAAUUUCAACUGCUUAAUUUGUAAUUUGUCUUUUUGGAAAAACA
rnacentral:snRNA from 1 species